CGCCCAUUAAAGCGGUACGCGAGCUGGGUUCAGAACGUCGUGAGACAGUUCGGUCCCUAUCCGUCGUGGGCGUAGGAAAUUUGAGAGGAGCUGUCCUUAGUACGAGAGGACCGGGAUGGACAUACCUCUGGUGUACCAGUUGUCGUGCCAACGGCAUAGCUGGGUAGCUAUGUGUGGACGGGAUAAGUGCUGAAAGCAUCUAAGCAUGAAGCCCCCCUCAAGAUGAGAUUUCCCAACUUCGGUUAUAAGAUCCCUCAAAGAUGAUGAGGUUAAUAGGUUCGAGGUGGAAGCAUGGUGACAUGUGGAGCUGACGAAUACUAA
rnacentral:rRNA from 1 species